rnacentral:rRNA from 1 species
CCUACGGGCGGCAGCAGUGGGGGAUAUUGCACAAUGGAGGAAACUCUGAUGCAGCGACGCCGCGUGAGUGAAGACGGUCUUCGGAUUGUAAACCUCUGUCUUUGGGGAAGAAAAUGACGGUACCCAAAGAGUAAGCUCCGGCUAACUACGUGCCAGCAGCCGCGGUAAUACGUAGGGAGCGAGCGUGCUCCGGAAUUACUGGUUGAAAGGGGAGCGUAGGCGGGGGAGAAAGUUGAAUGUUAAAUCUACCGGCUUAACUGGUAGCUGCGUUCAAAACUUCUUGGCUUGAGUGAAGUAGAGGCAGGUAGAAUUCCUAGUGUAGCGGUGAAAUGCGUAGAGAUUAGGAGGAACACCAGUGGCGAAGGCGGCCUGCUGGGCUUUAACUGACGCUGAGGCGCGAAAGCGUGGGGAGCAAACAGGAUUAGAUACCCUAGUAGUC